CGCUAAUUGUGUCCAUGUAUUCAAUAAACGUUUGGAGUUAUUAAUGCAUUUAAAGGCAAAUGCAGUUCUAUAUGAAGUUAGAAUAAUUCUCACCGUUACCAAGUACUUAAGAGUCAUGAAAAGUGUACACGUAUUCACAUUGGCUGUAAUGCUGCUAUAUUUUUGUAUUAGGACUUCAACUGCAUAUUAUAUACUGAAUGAAUACCCACGUCUUGCAAAACGUAACCGAAUAAUACCAAUACGAGUAUAUUACUCGUAUUUGAUCAUGAGAACAGAACCUAUAAAACCUCCAAAUUACUACGGGUGCUCAUUUUACAACGUGAUGAUGUGCUUCGGACGAUAGAGCAAUUGGAAAUAUACUAGCAUUAACGUAUAAGUAAACUUUUACUGAGUU